CAACUCAUAACAUACUUCUCUAAUGUCUUAAUAAAAUAUUAUUUAAGGGUGCAAUAAUUAAAUAUAUUAAUUCAAUAAAUUUUGUAAUUUAUAGACAAAACAAUAACACAACAAAUCUAACCUAUACUAAAAGGGGAAUAUGGUCAAAGGAGAGCCUGUCCACGUUGGAUUAAAUAAUCAACCAGUAAAAAAUUGACAUGUCAGCUUCAUUUUUAAGUAAUCCUCUGUUUUUGUCCACGUCUUUAUUUCUACAAACCCAAACUCCUACCUAAUUUUUGACAAAAUAUCGCCUCCAGACCGAUUCGACUUCUCAUUCCUUCUGAUUGAAAAAUCAAUCAUAAAUCACUAUGUUAUCUUCUCCACCGAUUCACCUGCGUAGAGUCUCAUUUCCACCCCUAUCACUCAUAAAGACCCAACCGUUAUUGCAUUAACACAAAGCUAAUCAACUCUUCCAAUUCUCACACCUAAAAACGUUAUAUAUAUAGCUCUUUUACGGUGCUCUCAUUCACCAAGAAGCUACCUUCAUCAGUUUGCAACUCUUGACUAAUGCUUCUUCAUUAGGCCAAGAUCUCAUACAUUUAUCCUUUUGCUCCCUUCUUUGCUCGACAAUCUUUCGCAAGGUGGAUUAUCUAUGUGACCAAGGAGCCACCGAAGUGAGCAGGAUGUAGCAAAGCGGCUGCAACUGAUCCAAACAAACCAAAAAGGCCAGCCGGGGCCUUCUUCUUUUUCAUGUAAUAAUCGCCUGCAAAUUCUUCUUUUAUUUUGUGUUCAGUAGUUUCCAUGGGUUAAAUUUUUUUAUUUAAAAAAGUUCUUCCUCUGGCUACUGCGAAAUCUAAUACAGGUUAGAUGGUUUGAAUCCUUUCUGUUAUUUUGAUGUCAAAAGUAUUUGACAAUGGUUAUAUGAACUUAUAAAUCUGUUGCCAUUAUUCCUCUUUUUAAUUUGAUUGUAAUGUAUUUUUUUGUUGGUUUUCUAUUAUUUGUAUGGACAUACAAGUUGCAAAAGCUGCUGGAGAUAAGUGGAAAUUCUUGACAAAUGGGUGAGGAGAAAUAACUUCAUGUUGCCAAGGCUGAAAAUCACAAGUUUGACUACGAGAAGAACAUUGAGACCGUACAACAAGAAAUUGAAGAAAUAUCCAAAGGAAGAUGAGGGAUCUGAAAAAUCAGUGCCAGAGGUUAGGAUGAAAGAGAAAGGGUGCAAGAGCAUAAAAACUACACGCUACACAAACCUCUUGAAGCUAAGGACAUUGCAGCUAAGAAAGAUCAGAGAAAUUCUGAGUAUUUAAGGGAGAAAGAGAAGAAAACGGUAUCAGCGAAAGGCUACAAUUGUUUAAAAAAUAUGUGAAGCAAUGAAAUUGAGCAAGGAAUCGUCUGAUGAUGGUGGCAGAAGCUGCUCAUUACGCCGAAGUGGCUACUCAUAAAACAGAUGUUGUUGGGUAGAUAGUGCAAGGGACAAACUCGAUUGCAGGGACGGUGGAAGGUGCAGUGUGAUAUGCAGGGCAUAAGGUGGCUAUAAGAAUGUGGAGUUGAUUAAAAAUAAAUCAGCAGCGGCUGCUAAUAUGGUGGUUGGAUACACAGUGAGCCAGAAAGAGAAAGCUCAACACAAAUGCCAAGAAAUGCACCAGGUACUACUCCGCUUACGUCAAAGAUCUUGAUUUAGCUCAUUCAAGUAUCAUAAUGUUGUUACGUGGUUCUCAAGAAACUGUUUUUAGAUUUGUUGAGUGGGGGUGAGGAAGAGAAGCUACCAGGGUUUGUCACAGAAUCAAGAAGAUGCUAUGGACCGAUGUAAGAGAAAUUAGAAGUAAGGAAAUUGUAUUCGGAUAUGGACCAAAAGGGUUCGGGUAUGAAGAAAGAUGUUUAAAUAAGGAACAAAUGGAAUGUUUUUUCAAUUGUUUUUGCUUAUAAGGGUCCUUUAUCUAAAUAGCAUGACACUAUGCUUCAGAAUAAUUCCCUUCUAAAUAAAAACCGCUCUUUUUCUAUUAAAUGGGUUGAAGUAUGUAACUGGUUAAGGUUUAUCAAUCUAAUCAAUCUCUUCAUAUUUUCCUUUGAAUUACUAAUAUUUAUCUACUCUUUGGAGACUAAGUCAGUGGACUUUAUACUUUGAAGUGGAUCGUACAACACUAUCAUACCAAGAACAUUAGCUACCUUCAAUUUAAAAAUACCAAAAUUUCAAACAUGUGAUUGCAGACAAAUAUCUUGGAUGGAAGUCAUCCUCAUAAUCAAAUCACUUCAAUCGAGUUGCAUGUUAAUUUGUAUCAUAUUGUAUAAUAGCAGACACAUAUAUAUGUGCAAAUACUACAUAUAAAUACACAUAAAUUUGUAUUUUGAUCGGCAAGAGACGUCGGAGACCAUAUAUGUUUUCACACAAUAAUCAACAGGAAGAACCAUAUUAAUCUUGGAUGAUGCAAUUAAAUAAGAAAAAUGCUUAAAAUUACUAAAUAUAACUACAAAUAGUAAUAAAUAAUUAAAUUAAAAAUUAAUCAAAAAUGAUAUGUGAUAUCAAUAUACAAAGUAGAGAAAGAAAAAAAACCCAAAAAACUAAAGAUUAUAUUACAAAACAAAAUGUAAAACACAUAAAGUUAUACGUAAGUCUUAUAUUAAUUCAGUAUAACUACAUGAAUAAUUUCAUAUGCACAAUAAAUCUAUUAUUUAGUUCAAAAAAAGUAAAAUAAAUCUAUUACACUUAAUAAAACUCUGAUUAUAUAGGAAUCAAGAAGACAACAUAGAAGACCAAGACAACAUAGAAAACCAGCGUCGUUAACAAACAAAAAAAAAUCAUCUUCUUUACUGUUGUAAAUAUUCUUCUAUGUAUUAGCUUGAUCAAUGAAGAAUUAUUUAAAUAAAUAAGAAUCAAAU